AGAACGAACGCUGGCGGCAUGCUUAACACAUGCAAGUCGAACGGAUAGCUUGCUAUCAGUGGCGCACGGGUGAGUAACACGUGGGAACCUACCUUUAGUUUGGGAUAACUUUGGGAAACUAAGGCUAAUACCGGAUACGCUUUGCAGCUUGGCGCUGUAAAGGAAAGAUUUAUCGCUAAAAGAUGGGCCCGCGGUGGAUUAGCUUGUUGGUGGGGUAAAGGCUUACCAAGGCAACGAUCCAUAGCUGGUCUGAGAGGAUGAUCAGCCACACUGGGACUGAGAUACGGCCCAGACUCCUACGGGAGGCAGCAGUGGGGAAUAUUGGACAAUGGGCGAAAGCCUGAUCCAGCAAUGCCGCGUGAGUGAAGAAGGUCUUCGGAUUGUAAAGCUCUUUCACGGGUGAAGAUAAUGACGGUAACCCGAGAACGAAGCCCCGGCUAACUUCGUG
rnacentral:rRNA from 1 species